rnacentral:lncRNA from 1 species
ACUGAAUAUGCUUCAUUUUCCAGAUGGAGAAAUUAAUGAUUCUACUGCUCUGGUUACCAUAUGUGGUUAAGAUCUCAAAAAGUUUUCAUUAUGUACCGAUGAAUAAACAAACAACAAAAAUUCUUAUUGAAUGGGAUGAAUUUCCUAAAGGAGAGAGUCCUGAAUUUUAUUUUUUAAAAUACCAACUUGUUAAUAGUUUUGCUCAAAAAAAUAUCAAAAGCAUUCUCACAGACCCACAAAAACUUCCAAAAUCAAUAAUAACACUAGAAGAAAAUGAAGACUAUUACAUCAUUAUACAGUCCGUAAAAUAUGGACAAAUUUUGAGUGAAAAAUCAUUCCAAACCCGUGGAAUCUCAUCUAGAAAUAUUAAAACAAUAGCAACAAGUACGAGUGUUUCUUUUAACUGGAGUGAGCUAUCUUCUGGUGACAUUUCAAUGUCAAUAUCUCUUAAUAAUUCUUCACAAAUUAUGCAAAACAAUGUCACUGUUUAUGAGUGGGGCAGUUUGAAACCUGCCAGUUUGUAUUCUUUUACAUUUGAAUUCAAACAGUUAUGCUUGGAUUUUAUAAAGGUAUUUCAGAGACUGGAUGUUCAAGUGGAAACAGGUUCAUGUUCACAAGGAUGGGUAGCAUUAAAAAAUAACUGUUAUAGAAUUAGUAAAGAAAGCGUGCCAUGGAAUGUAGCCCAGCAACGUUGUAAGUUAUCCUUAAGUUCUGCACACCUUGUGGAUAUAAAAAAUGAAGAGGAAAAACACUUUAUAUUUUCACUUCUCAGGUCAAAGAAUCAAAUAAUAAUAUGGACUGGUCUUAAUGAUUUGAAGGUCAGUAAAUGUAAAGAAAUGCAUAUAUUGUGAUCAAACUAUUUUAUAUAUGUUCAUUCAUUCGGCCCUUCUUUGUUUAUUCAUUUGUUCCUUCCUUCAUUCAUUCAAUAAAUAUUUAUUGAGUACUUCUUAGAAGCCA